AUUGAACGCUGGCGGAAUGCUUUACACAUGCAAGUCGAACGGCAGCACGGACUUCGGUCUGGUGGCGAGUGGCGAACGGGUGAGUAAUGCAUCGGAACGUGCCCAAUCGUGGGGGAUAACGUAGCGAAAGUUACGCUAAUACCGCAUACGAUCUAAGGAUGAAAGCGGGGGAUCGCAAGACCUCGCGCGAAUGGAGCGGCCGAUGUUAGAUUAGGUAGUUGGUGGGGUAAAGGCUCACCAAGCCGACGAUCUAUAGCUGGUCUGAGAGGAUGAUCAGCCACACUGGGACUGAGACACGGCCCAGACUCCUACGGGAGGCAACAGUGGGGAAUUUUGGACAAUGGGCGCAAGCCUGAUCCAGCCAUUCCGCGUGCAGGAUGAAGGCCCUCGGGUUGUGAACUGCUUUUGUACAGAACGAAAAGCUCUGGGUUAAUACCCUGGGGUCAUGACGGUACUGUAAGAAUAAGCACCGGCUAACUACGUGCCAGCAGCCGCAGUAA
rnacentral:rRNA from 1 species